rnacentral:rRNA from 1 species
GUUUGAUUCUGGCUCAGGAUGAACGCUGGCGGCAUGCCUAAUACAUGCAAGUCGAACGGAGUGAAGCCUUCGGGUUUCAUUCAGUGGCGAACGGGUGAGUAAUACGCAGGGAACCUGGCCAUGGCAGGGGGAUACACUCUGGAAACGGAGCAUAAGACCCCAUAGGCAGUAAGGCGGCAUCGCCUUACUGUUAAAGAAAGCUGAAAGGCUUUGGCGAUGGAUGGACCUGCGGUGCAUUAGCUUGUUGGUGAGGCAACGGCUUACCAAGGCGAUGAUGCAUAGCCGGCCUGAGAGGGCGGACGGCCACACUGGGACUGAGACACGGCCCAGACUCCUGCGGGAGGCAGCAGUAGGGAAUUUUCGUCAAUGGGCGCAAGCCUGAACGAGCAAUGCCGCGUGAGUGAGGAAGGUCUUCGGACUGUAAAGCUCUGUUGCCGGGGAAAAAGGGGAAAUGCAGGAAAUGGCAUUUCAUGGAUGGUACCCGGCCAGAAAGCCACGGCUAACUACGUGCCAGCAGCCGCGGUAAUACGUAGGUGGCGAGCGUUAUCCGGAAUGAUUGGGCGUAAAGGGUGCGCAGGCGGUCUGUUAAGUCUGAAGGCAAAGGGAUGAGCUCAACUCAUUUAUGAUUCAGAAACUGGCAGACUUGAGGACAGGAGAGGGCGGUGGAACUCCAUGUGUAGCGGUAAAAUGCGCAGAGAUAUGGAAGAACACCAGUGGCGAAGGCGGCCGCCUGGCCUGUGACUGACGCUGAGGCACGAAAGCGUGGGGAGCAAAUAGGAUUAGAUACCCUAGUAGUCCACGCCGUAAACGAUGAGGAGCAGGUGUUGGGAGUGAAAUCUCAGUGCCGAAGCCAACGCAGUGACUCCUCCGCCUGGGGAGUAUGCACGCAAGUGUGAAACUCAAAGGAAUUGACGGGGGCCCGCACAAGCGGUGGAGUAUGUGGUUUAAUUCGAAGCAACGCGAAGAACCUUACCAGGUUUUGACAUCGGAUGCGAAGGCGCAGAGAUGCGCUGGAGGCUAUCAUCCAGACAGGUGGUGCAUGGUUGUCGUCAGCUCGUGUCGUGAGAUGUUCAGUUAAGUCUGGCAACGAGCGCAACCCCCGUGGUAUGUUACUAACGCAUUUGGGCGAGGACUCAUAUCAGACUGCCGGUGACAAACCGGAGGAAGGCGGGGAUGACGUCAAAUCAUCAUGCCCCUUAUGACCUGGGCUACACACGUACUACAAUGGCGUCUACAGAGGGAAGCGACCCUGAGAAGGGAAGCGAAACCGGAAAAGGGCGUCCCAGUUCGGAUUGAAGUCUGCAACCCGACUUCAUGAAGAUGGAAUCGCUAGUAAUCGCGGAUCAGCAUGCCGCGGUGAAUACGUUCCCGGGCCUUGUACACACCGCCCGUCAAACCAUGGAAGCCGGCAACGCCCGAAGCCGGUGGCAUAACCUUUUAGGAGUGAGCCGUCGAAGGCGGGGCCGAUGACUGGGGUUAAGUCGUAACAAGGUAGCC